GAACCUGCGGAGGGAUCAUUACCGAGUUUACAACUCCCAAACCCCUGUGAACAUACCUUAUGUUGCCUCGGCGGAUCAGCCCGCGCCCCGUAAAAAGGGACGGCCCGCCGCAGGAACCCUAAACUCUGUUUUUAGUGGAACUUCUGAGUAUAAAAAACAAAUAAAUCAAAACUUUCAACAACGGAUCUCUUGGUUCUGGCAUCGAUGAAGAACGCAGCAAAAUGCGAUAAGUAAUGUGAAUUGCAGAAUUCAGUGAAUCAUCGAAUCUUUGAACGCACAUUGCGCCCGCCAGUAUUCUGGCGGGCAUGCCUGUUCGAGCGUCAUUUCAACCCUCAAGCCCAGCUUGGUGUUGGGAGCUGCAGUCCUGCUGCACUCCCCAAAUACAUUGGCGGUCACGUCGAGCUUCCAUAGCGUAGUAAUUUACACAUCGUUACUGGUAAUCGUCGCGGCCACGCCGUUAAACCCCAACUUCUGAAUGUUGACCUCGGAUCAGGUAGGAAUACCCGCUGAACUUAAGCAUAUCAAUAAGCG
rnacentral:rRNA from 1 species